UACGUAGGGGGCAAGCGUUGUCCGGAAUCAUUGGGCGUAAAGAGCGUGUAGGCGGCCUGGUAAGUCCGCUGUGAAAGUCCAGGGCUCAACCCUGGAAUGCCGGUGGAAACUGUCAGGCUCGAGUCCGGAAGAGGCGAGUGGAAUUCCUGGUGUAGCGGUGAAAUGCGCAGAUAUCAGGAGGAACACCAAUGGCGAAGGCAGCUCGCUGGGACGUCACUGACGCUGAGACGCGAAAGCGUGGGGAGCAAACAGG
rnacentral:rRNA from 1 species